rnacentral:rRNA from 1 species
ACUGCUCAGUAACACGUAGGUAACCUACCCUCAGGACUGAGAUAACCCCGGGAAAACUGGGGCUAAUAUUAGAUAGAUAAAAGAUACUGGAAUGUUCUUUUAUCCAAAGCUUUUGCGCCUGAGGAUGGGCCUGCGUCCGAUUAGGUUGUUGGUGGGGUAAUGGCCCACCAAGCCUACGAUCGGUACGGGCAGUGGGAGCUGAAGCCCGGAGUUGGGGACUGAGACAAGGCCCCAGGCCCUGCGGGGCGCAGCAGGCGCGAAACCUCUGCAAUGCGGGAAACCGUGACAGGGGGAUCCCAAGUGCUCAUGCAUUGCAUGGGCUGUUCUUUGGUCUAAGUAACCAGAGGAGUAAGGGCUGGGCAAGACCGGUGCCAGCCGCCGCGGUAAUACCGGCAGCUCAAGUGGUAGCCGCGAUUAUCGGGCCUAAAACGUUCGUAGCCGGAUAAGUAAGUCUUUGGUUAAAUCCUGCGACUUAACCGUGGGAAAUCUAGAGAUACUGCUUGUCUUGAGACCGGGAGAGGUUGGAGGUACUCCUAGGGUAGGGGUGAAAUCCUGUAAUCCUAGGGGGACCACCUGUGGCGAAGGCGUCCAACUGGAACGGGUCUGACGGUGAGGGACGAAACCUAGGGGAGCGAGCCGGAUUAGAUACCCGGGGUAGUCCUAGGCGUAAAUGAUGCGAGUUAAGGGUGGGGGCAUCUACCAGAUGGCCCUGUGCUGUAGGGUAGCCGUUAAACUCGCGGCCUCGGGGAGUACGGUCGCAAGGCUGAAACUUAAAGGAAUUGGCGGGGGAGCACCACAAGAGGUGGAGGCUGCGGUUCAAUUGGACUCAACGCCGGA